GGAGGAUCCAAGCGUUAUCCGGAAUCAUUGGGUUUAAAGGGUCCGUAGGCGGUCUUGUAAGUCAGUGGUGAAAGCCCAUCGCUCAACGGUGGAACGGCCAUUGAUACUGCUGGACUUGAAUUAUUAGGAAGUAACUAGAAUAUGUAGUGUAGCGGUGAAAUGCUUAGAGAUUACAUGGAAUACCAAUUGCGAAGGCAGGUUACUACUAAUGGAUUGACGCUGAUGGACGAAAGCGUGGGUAGCGAACAGGAUUAGAUACCCUGGUAGUCCACGCCGUAAACGAUGGAUACUAGCUGUUGGAAGCAAUUUCAGUGGCUAARMRAAAGUGAUAAGUAUCCCACCUGGGGAGUACGUUC
rnacentral:rRNA from 1 species